AUUUUGACCUCGGAUCAGGUAGGGAUACCCGCUGAACUUAAGCAUAUCAAUAAGCGGAGGAAAAGAAACCAACAGGGAUUGCCCUAGUAACGGCGAGUGAAGCGGCAACAGCUCAAAUUUGAAAUCUGGCUCUUUCAGGGUCCGAGUUGUAAUUUGUAGAGGGUGCUUUGGAGUUGACUGUGGUCUAAGUUCCUUGGAACAGGACGUCGCAGAGGGUGAGAAUCCCGUAUGUGGCCGCCAGUCUUCGCCGUGUAAAGCCCCUUCGACGAGUCGAGUUGUUUGGGAAUGCAGCUCUAAAUGGGAGGUAAAUUUCUUCUAAAGCUAAAUAUUGACCAGAGACCGAUAGCGCACAAGUAGAGUGAUCGAAAGAUGAAAAGCACUUUGGAAAGAGAGUCAAAAAGCACGUGAAAUUGUUGAAAGGGAAGCGCUUGCAGCCAGACUUGCCUGUAGUUGCUCAUCCGGGCUUUUGCCCGGUGCACUCUUCUAUAGGCAGGCCAGCAUCAGUCCUGGCGGUCGGAUAAAUGCCUGCUGAAUGUACCUCUCCUCGGGGAGGACUUAUAGCGGUGGGCGGCAUACGACCAGCCGGGAUUGAGGUCCGCGCAUCUGCUAGGAUGCUGGCGUAAUGGCUGUAAGCGGCCCGUCUUGAAACACGGACCAAGGAGUCUAACAUCUAUGCGAGUGUUUGGGUGUCAAGCCCGAGCGCGUAAUGAAAGUGAACGGAGGUGGGAACCCCUCGGGGCGCACCAUCGACCGAUCCUGAUGUCUUCGGAUGGAUUUGAGUAAGAGCAUAGCUGUUGGGACCCGAAAGAUGGUGAACUAUGCCUGAAUAGGGUGAAGCCAGAGGAAACUCUGGUGGAGGCUCGCAGCGGUUCUGACGUGCAAAUCGAUAGUCAAAUUUGGGCAUAGGGGCGAAAGACUAAUCGAACUAUCUAGUAGCUGGUUCCUGCCGAAGUUUCCCUCAGGAUAGCAGUAACGUUUUCAGUUUUAUGAGGUAAAGCGA
rnacentral:rRNA from 1 species